AACGAACGCUGGCGGCAUGCCUAACACAUGCAAGUCGAACGAGAUCUUCGGGUCUAGUGGCGCACGGGUGCGUAACGCGUGGGAAUCUGCCCUUUGGUUCGGAACAACAGUUGGAAACGACUGCUAAUACCGGAUGAUGACGAAAGUCCAAAGAUUUAUCGCCAGAGGAUGAGCCCGCGUAGGAUUAGCUAGUUGGUGUGGUAAAGGCGCACCAAGGCGAAGAUCCUUAGCUGGUCUGAGAGGAUGAUCAGCCACACUGGGACUGAGACACGGCCCAGACUCCUACGGGAGGCAGCAGUGGGGAAUAUUGGACAAUGGGCGAAAGCCUGAUCCAGAAAUGCCGCGUGAGUGAUGAAGGCCUUAGGGUUGUAAAGCUCUUUUACCCGGGAUGAUAAUGACAGUACCGGGAGAAUAAGCUCCGGCUAACUCCGUGCCGGCCGCCGCGGUAA
rnacentral:rRNA from 1 species